GACGAACGCUGGCGGCGUGCUUAACACAUGCAAGUCGAGGGCGGGGGGUAACCCCUGACCGGCGAACGGGUGCGUAACACGUGAGCGACCUACCUCCCUGUGGGGGAUAGCCGGCCCAACGGCCGGGUAAUACCGCAUACGCUCUCUCCCGGGCAUCCGGGGGGGAGGAAACUUUUCGGGCGGGGAGAGGGGCUCGCGGCCUAUCAGCUAGUUGGCGGGGUAACGGCCCACCAAGGCGGCGACGGGUAGCUGGUCUGAGAGGAUGGCCAGCCACAUUGGGACUGAGAGACGGCCCAGACUCCUACGGGAGGCAGCAGUGGGGAAUCUUGCGCAAUGGCCGGAAGGCUGACGCAGCGACGCCGCGUGGGGGAGGAAGGCCUCGGCUCGUAAACCCCUGUUGCCCGGGCGAACACUCCCCUC
rnacentral:rRNA from 1 species